AACGUAGGGGGCUAGCGUUGUUCGGAAUUACUGGGCGUAAAGCGCGUGUAGGCGGCUUGGUAAGUCGGAAGUGAAAGCCCCAGGCUCAACUUGGGAAUUGCUUUCGAAACUGCCUAGCUUGAGUGCGGGAGGGGAGAGCGGAAUUCCAGGUGUAGCGGUGAAAUGCGUAGAUAUCUGGAGGAACACCGGUGGCGAAGGCGGCUCUCUGGACCGUAACUGACGCUGAGACGCGAAAGCGUGGGGAG
rnacentral:rRNA from 1 species